CUGUACAGGGGGAGUAACAGCUGGAAACGGCUGCUAAUACCGCAUAAGCGCACGAGGAGACAUCUCCUUGUGUGAAAAACUCCGGUGGUACAGGAUGGGCCCGCGUCUGAUUAGCUGGUUGGCAGGGUAACGGCCUACCAAGGCAACGAUCAGUAGCCGGUCUGAGAGGAUGAACGGCCACCAUUGGAACUGAGACACGGUCCAAACUCCUACGGGAGGCAGCAUG
rnacentral:rRNA from 1 species